rnacentral:rRNA from 1 species
GAUGAACGCUGGCGGCGUGCCUAAUACAUGCAAGUCGAGCGAACGGACGAGAAGCUUGCUUCUCUGAUGUUAGCGGCGGACGGGUGAGUAACACGUGGAUAACCUACCUAUAAGACUGGGAUAACUUCGGGAAACCGGAGCUAAUACCGGAUGAUAUUUUGAACCGCAUGGUUCAAAAGUGAAAGACGGUCUUGCUGUCACUUAUAGAUGGAUCCGCGCUGCAUUAGCUAGUUGGUAAGGUAACGGCUUACCAAGGCAACGAUGCAUAGCCGACCUGAGAGGGUGAUCGGCCACACUGGAACUGAGACACGGUCAGACUCCUACGGGAGGCAGCAGUAGGGAAUCUUCCGCAAUGGGCGAAAGCCUGACGGAGCAACGCCGCGUGAGUGAUGAAGGUCUUCGGAUCGUAAAACUCUGUUAUUAGGGAAGAACAUAUGUGUAAGUAACUGUGCACAUCUUGACGGUACCUAAUCAGAAAGCCACGGCUAACUACGUG